GGCACGAUGGCUUAGUGGUUAGCAUGCCUGCCUCGCAUCUCCAGGGCUGGGGGUUCGACUCCCGCCUCUGCCC